GCAGUCGAGCGAACAGAUGAGAAGCUUGCUUCUCUGAUGUUAGCGGCGGACGGGUGAGUAACACGUGGGUAACCUACCUAUAAGACUGGGAUAACUCCGGGAAACCGGGGCUAAUACCUGAUAAUAUUUUGAACCGCAUGGUUCAAUAGUGAAAGACGGCUUCGGCUGUCACUUAUAGAUGGACCCGCGCCGUAUUAGCUAGUUGGUAAGGUAAUGGCUUACCAAGGCGACGAUACGUAGCCGACCUGAGAGGGUGAUCGGCCACACUGGAACUGAGACACGGUCCAGACUCCUACGGGAGGCAGCAGUAGGGAAUCUUCCGCAAUGGGCGAAAGCCUGACGGAGCAACGCCGCGUGAGUGAUGAAGGUCUUAGGAUCGUAAAACUCUGUUGUUAGGGAAGAACAAAUUUGUUAGUAACUGAACAAGUCUUGACGGUACCUAACCAGAAAGCCACGGCUAACUACGUGCCAGCAGCCGCGGUAAUACGUAGGUGGCAAGCGUUAUCCGGAAUUAUUGGGCGUAAAGCGCGCGUAGGCGGUUUCUUAAGUCUGAUGUGAAAGUCCACGGCUCAACCGUGGAAGGUCAUUGGAAACUGGGGAACUUGAGUGCAGAAGAGGAGAGUGGAAUUCCAUGUGUAGCGGUGAAAUGCGCAGAGAUAUGGAGGAACACCAGUGGCGAAGGCGGCUCUCUGGUCUGUAACUGACGCUGAUGUGCGAAAGCGUGGGGAUCAAACAGGAUUAGAUACCCUGGUAGUCCACGCCGUAAACGAUGAGUGCUAAGUGUUAGGGGGUUUCCGCCC
rnacentral:rRNA from 2 species